GGCGCUUCGAAGAUCCAGCGGCUUGCUGUGAGUCCGGGAGGCAAAAUUGUACCCAUUUCAAAGAUGUGAUGACUAAAGUCUCGAGAGGGCCAAGGCUCGCCCAAGGUUGCUCUGUGGUGACAGCUUUACCUCCUUGCUAUGUAUUCUCAGAUAUUGCAAACGGACGAGAGAAAAGUGGAGAAUGAAUCCUGGAGAAAACAAGGUCGUUCGACGAUUUCGACACGUCGCAUCCCUGAGAGUCUCUCGUGUCCUGAUCAACUCGAGAACUGGAGGCGGUGACAUUUUAGAUGCUGCAGUGAAAGCCACAGAGCCACGGAAGGCCGAGACUCCACCAUGUUUGUGAUCUUCACAUUCAGCAAACUCACUCGCACUCUGCCUCAUCUUAUCUCUAGAAUGUAUUUUACCACACUGUGUCCCUUCUUUAGUGGGAAUGUCUUUGGCCAAAAAUAAUGAAUAG
rnacentral:lncRNA from 1 species